rnacentral:lncRNA from 1 species
UCCUUUGCCUCCUUCUCCCCGUAAAUCUCAAGGGCUCGAGGCACUCUUGAAGACUAGUCUGGAAGCUGAUGAGGAGCGCACUUGACCUUUGCAGACGCCACCAUUAGAGAUUACCAGCGAAUGCUGGGGAAGCAGAGAAAACUCUCUUUGGCUUCCUCUUCCUGGCUUGUUUGAAAAGUUCUCUUCCUGAUCUCUCCAGGUGGAAAUGGGAGGAGGGCAGCCUUUAUUCCCUCCCAGCCUCCUCCUCUCGCAAGGCAGCAGGCUCAUUACGGGAAAAAGAAGAGAGGGAGGUGGAGAGGGAGAAGCCAAUGAUGCCAGCUGAAAGCUUGCCAUCUCUGAAUGCAUCCACUUGUGGUGGCGCAGAGACUGACGCCUCCCCCGUGAUUUCCUUGCAACUGCUCUAAGAGUGGUCUGCCCACCCUGCAGCUCUUGCCAGCAGGAGAAGGAGCUCCUAGGUGUUUUGUGGCAGG